CCGGAAGAGAAUUCCCACCUUAACCGUUCUAUAGCAAAAGGUCGGUGGGAUUUUCGUCCGUCU
rnacentral:pre_miRNA from 1 species